GAUUAAGUUAUUAAGGGCGCACGGUGGAUGCCUUGGCACUAGAAGCCGAUGAAGGACGUUACUAACGACGAUAUGCUUUGGGUAGCUGUAAGUAAGCGUUGAUCCAGAGAUUUCCGAAUGGGGGAACCCAGCAUGAGUUAUGUCAUGUUAUCGACAUGUGAAUUCAUAGCAUGUCAGAAGGCAGACCCGGAGAACUGAAACAUCUUAGUACCCGGAGGAAGAGAAAGAAAAAUCGAUUCCCUGAGUAGCGGCGAGCGAAACGGGAAGAGCCCAAACCAACAAGCUUGCUUGUUGGGGUUGUAGGACACUCUAUACGGAGUUACAAAAGAACAUGUUAGACGAAUCAUCUGGAAAGAUGAAUCAAAGAAGGUAAUAAUCCUGUAGUCGAAAACAUAUUCUCUCUUGAGUGGAUCCUGAGUACGACGGAGCACGUGAAAUUCCGUCGGAAUCUGGGAGGACCAUCUCCUAAGGCUAAAUACUCUCUAGUGACCGAUAGUGAACCAGUACCGUGAGGGAAAGGUGAAAAGUACCCCGGAAGGGGAGUGAAAGAGAACUUGAAACCGUGUGCUUACAAGUAGUCAGAGCCCGUUAAUGGGUGAUGGCGUGCCUUUUGUAGAAUGAACCGGCGAGUUACGAUCUGAUGCAAGGUUAAGCAGCAAAUGUGGAGCCGCAGCGAAAGCGAGUCUGAAUAGGGCGUUGAGUAUUUGGUCGUAGACCCGAAACCAGGUGAUCUACCCUUGGUCAGGUUGAAGUUCAGGUAACACUGAAUGGAGGACCGAACCGACUUACGUUGAAAAGUGAGCGGAUGAACUGAGGGUAGCGGAGAAAUUCCAAUCGAACUUGGAGAUAGCUGGUUCUCUCCGAAAUAGCUUUAGGGCUAGCCUCAAGUGAUGAUUAUUGGAGGUAGAGCACUGUUUGGACGAGGGGCCCCUCUCGGGUUACCGAAUUCAGACAAACUCCGAAUGCCAAUUAAUUUAACUUGGGAGUCAGAACAUGGGUGAUAAGGUCCGUGUUCGAAAGGGAAACAGCCCAGACCACCAGCUAAGGUCCCAAAAUAUAUGUUAAGUGGAAAAGGAUGUGGCGUUGCCCAGACAACUAGGAUGUUGGCUUAGAAGCAGCCAUCAUUUAAAGAGUGCGUAAUAGCUCACUAGUCGAGUGACACUGCGCCGAAAAUGUACCGGGGCUAAACAUAUUACCGAAGCUGUGGAUUGUCCUUUGGACAAUGGUAGGAGAGCGUUCUAAGGGCGUCGAAGCAUGAUCGCAAGGACAUGUGGAGCGCUUAGAAGUGAGAAUGCCGGUGUGAGUAGCGAAAGACGGGUGAGAAUCCCGUCCACCGAUUGACUAAGGUUUCCAGAGGAAGGCUCGUCCGCUCUGGGUUAGUCGGGUCCUAAGCUGAGGCCGACAGGCGUAGGCGAUGGAUAACAGGUUGAUAUUCCUGUACCACCUAGUAUCGUUUUAAUCGAUGGGGGGACGCAGUAGGAUAGGCGAAGCGUGCUGUUGGAGUGCACGUCCAAGCAGUAAGGCUGAGUGUUAGGCAAAUCCGGCACUCAUAAGGCUGAGCUGUGAUGGGGAGAGGAAAUUGUUUCCUCGAGUCG
rnacentral:rRNA from 1 species